UUCCUGGUUGCGUCACCAGAUGUUCCCGCCCCUACCUGUACGUCACUAUUUAUGCAGCUCAGGGGAAGAGGACAAGCUGCUGGUUUAUCUCGGGUUGUGAGGACCGUGGAGAGGUGCGCAAUGAAUGUGAGGCCACGAAGGGUAGUAGUGAUGCAGCCUCCAAAAACAG